rnacentral:rRNA from 1 species
UACGAGGGGGGCAAAUGUUGUUCGGAAUCACUGGGCGUAAAGGGCGCCGUAGGCGGCUUGAUAAGUCGGGGGUGAAAGCCUGUGGCUCAACCACAGAAUUGCCUUCGAUACUGUCUGGCUUGAGACCGGAAGAGGUAAGUGGAACUGCGAGUGUAGAGGUGAAAUUCGUAGAUAUUCGCAAGAACACCAGUGGCGAAGGCGGCUCACUGGCCCGGUACUGACGCUGAGGUGCGAAAGCGUGGGGAGCAACAGGG